rnacentral:rRNA from 1 species
GACGAACGUUGGCGGCGUGCUUAAUACAUGCAAGUCAACUGAAGCAGUGGUAGCAAUAUCGCUGUGGAGGUGGCGCACGGGUGAGUAACACGUAGGUAAUCUGCCUUCAGGUCUGGCAUAACUCCGGGAAACCGGGGCUAAUAGCAGAUGAUGCAGCGGCUCGACAUCGAGACAGUUGUUAAAGCUAUGGCGCCUGAAGAUGAGCCUGCGUCUGAUUAGCUAGUUGGCGGGGUAACGGCCCACCAAGGCAACGAUCGGUAGCUGGUCUGAGAGGAUGAUCAGCCACACUGGAACUGAGACACGGUCCAGACUCCUACGGGAGGCAGCAGUAAGGAAGAUUGCGCAAUGGGAGAAAUCCUGAAGCAGCAACGCCGCGUGAGGGACGAAGGGCUUUUGCUUGUAAACCUCUGUAGUGAGAGAAAAAAAUCCCAAUCUUUGGGACAUGAUGGUAUCUCAAAAGUAAGCCCCGGCUAACUACGUG